AUUGAACGCUGGCGGCAGGCCUAACACAUGCAAGUCGAGCGGAUGAAGGGAGCUUGCUCCUGGAUUCAGCGGCGGACGGGUGAGUAAUGCCUAGGAAUCUGCCUGGUAGUGGGGGAUAACGUCCGGAAACGGGCGCUAAUACCGCACACGUCCUGAGGGUGAAAGUGGGGGAUCUUCGGACCUCACGCUAUCAGAUGAGCCUAGGUCGGAUUAGCUAGUUGGUGGGGUAAAGGCUUACCAAGGCGACGAUCCGUAGCUGGCCUGAGAGGAUGAUCAGUCACACUGGAACUGAGACACGGUCCAGACUCCUACGGGAGGCAGCAGUGGGGAAUAUUGGACAAUGGGCGAAAGCCUGAUCCAGCAAUGCCGCGUGUGUGAAGAAGGUCUUCGGAUUGUAAAGCACUUUAAGUUGGGAGGAAGAGCAGUAAGUUAAUACCUUGCUGUUUUGACGGUACCAACAGAAUAAGCACCGGCUAACUUCGUG
rnacentral:rRNA from 1 species